rnacentral:rRNA from 1 species
AUUCGACCUCAAAUCAGGUAGGG